UCAUGGAAUCUGUUUGGUGCGCAGAUAUGAUAGAGACAUAAUACGAUAAUGAAUUGGAUAAAAAUAGGAAAAGAUAUUGAUGUGAUAGUCACUUAUCAUAUCAUGUGUUUGAUGCACAUAUGAUAAAAAAGUUCAUAACAAUAUUUAGAAGACCAAUUGAUGCAAAAUCAACCUUUCACAAUCCUAUGGUAGCAUUUUAUCUUCAAUGUUACAUGUAAUUUUUCAAUUAACAAAUUGAAUUUUUCUCUUCGAUAGUUAUAAUUGUAAAACACAUACAAGGAUCAAUUGAUGAAAGAAGUAACGAUGAAAGAAAAAAUGAGAGAGAUGAAGGGGGACCUAAAAGAGGUGGACGAGAGAAAGAGGUGGAGAAGAUCAAUCCAUGAAAGAAAUAAGAGCAAUGUUUCAUGUACACCUUUUAUUCCAUACCACUAAUGUACCACCUCCAUGUGGCACUAAGGACAUUUGAGUAAUUUCAUCACACCACUUCCUUUUUCACUUCCUUCUCUCUUCCGUCAUCCCAGAGGUAGAGACCAAGCCUCCACCAUCAACACCAACGCCUCCGUCGCGUGUAACGCCCCAUUUUUAUUUAAUUAUUUUUAGUUGAUUUAAAGUCUUUUAUAUGAUUUUUAAAUGAUUUACGUUGAUUUUGUGGUGUGGUAUAUUUUAUUAAAUGACUAUUUUAUUAUUUAAUAGAAUAAGUGAGAAAUAGGAUUUAAUUGGAGUUUGGGGGUUAUAUGAGAAUUAAGUAAACUUAGGGGGAGUAAAGUGAAUAUUGAGAGAUUAUAUUUAUUAAAGAAUUAGAAAAUAGAAGUGGGGGAAGCAGUUUUUACGUACAACAGAGAAAAGGGAGAAAAGUCAAGAAAAGGGAAGAGAAUCAAGAAGGGCUGCGAUUUUGAUUAUCUAAGGUAAGGGUGAGGCUAACUUACAUUAAUUUUAGUGUAUAUGAUUCUGAUUAUGUUUUAACAAAAGUUAUGAAUAAAUUUGGAGAAUUGGGAAUUAGGGUUAUGAUGAGAAUUGAUGAUUAAAUGAUGGAAUUAGGGUGAAUUGAUGUAGAAAUGAUGAACAGACCUUAAAUGUUUCAUAUAUUGAUGUUUAGAAUCAGUUUUAAGGUUAGAACAAUGGGUUUGGGUGAAUUUUUGAGAAAAACUGUAACCUGGCCGUACUGUUAUUCAUCGCUCGCCUCCCGAGUGACGAUCCUCGCCAUAGCGAGUGAUGAAGAUCAUCGCUCGCCUCGCGAGCAGGAGUUGUUCGCCUCGCGAGUUGCAUUUCGCAGCUCGCCAUAGCGAGCAAGUUUACUCGCCGUGGCGAGUGUGGGCAGAGAGCUUGCAAGAUUCUGUGUUUUUGAGCUGUGAGUUUAACCUUAGGUGUUUGUGAGGGCCUGAACAUGUACCUUAAUGAUUAGGCAAAGUUUUAGAAUGAGUUUGAACUCGGAAUAGGGUCAGAAUGGAUUCUAGAGUGUUUUACCCUAACUCGCCGUGGCGAGUAGAGGCUCUCGCCUCGCGAGCUAGUGCUUGACAGACUGCGUUGUUUAGGAUUUCAUGUGACUUUGUCGCACGAGAGGCUGUGAGUUGAACCUUGAGAUAGCAAUGAAAGAUGUAUAGGAUUUAAACGAUGAACUGUGAAGCUGGAUAGGGUAAAUUGAGGUUAUUAAUGUGAUAAAAAUUGUAUAAGUAAUACUUGGAUUAUGUGAAAAUGCUAGACAUCGUUGGAUUGUAUAAGAUAUUGUUAUAUCAUGCUGUUGUAUAUUGUUGUGUUGCUGUUGAUUGAUUAUGAUUGUUAAUGAUCGCUGGUUUAUACUUAACUACAUUCAAUUAGAAUGUACAAUGUGUUGGUUCGAGUUGUAAGUGGCGAGUUGUCGUUCUAGGUAACGGAGUCAUAGGUUGUUGACGUUGAUCAAGUUGGGGAGUGAGUCAUAGUUAUUAUGCACGGUCGUUGUCGUUGCCUAUGUUGUCGUUGUCGUAGUUGAGUUGUAUGCUGAUAUACACAAGUUGAGUCCUUUAUGAUUAGGAAUCUGUUGAGGGCUUAUGCCCUGGAAUGCUUUGUCAUUCAAACUGUUGAGGGCUCAUGCCCUGGAAUGCCUUGUCAUUCAAAUUGUUGGGGGCUUAUGCCCCGGAAUGCUUAGUCAUUCAACCCGUUGAAAUUAGUACCACGUUGUUGUUGUUGUAGAUGUUGUUGAGCGAGUUGGUGUUGUAGAUGUUGUUGAGAGAGUUGUUGUGGUUGAUGUCGUUGAGUGUUGUUGAAUGAGCUGUUGUAGUCGUUGAUAAAUACUGAUGUGUCGUUGUUGUUGAUUGGAUUAGUAAGUGUUAUUAAAAUUGAAGAAGUAUGAAUAUUAUCAUUGGGUAUAUGUUGUUAAUUAUGUUAUUUAAUUAAGUUGAUGAUUUAUAUAUAUAUAUAUAUAUAUAUAUAUAUAUCUAUUAUUAUUGUUUGUGAAUCUCACCCCUUCUGCUUGGAAUUGUUGCCCUUCGUAUGGGUAACUUGCAGGUAUUGAAGAAUAUUAGAAGUGGUGGCUCAAGUGUCUUAGGGCUCUGAUACGUAACGGGAUGGGAUAUCGUUGUCAUGUUUUCAUUCCUUAUGUAUCAUUAUGAACCUGCUGAUAUUGAUUUUAAUCAUUAAAGAUAUUUUGUUGAGGCCAAGUGCCAAGGAUUUAUUUGAAGGAUGUUUAAUGUUGAAAAUUAUUCCC
rnacentral:lncRNA from 1 species